CCGGAGGAAGGUGGGGAUGACGUCAAGUCCUCAUGGCCUUCAGGCUGGGCUACACACGUGCUACAAUGGCAUCUACAGUGGGCAGCUAUUCCGCAAGGAUGCGCUAAUCUCCAAAAAGAUGUCUCAGUUCGGAUUGUCCUCUGCAACUCGAGGGCAUGAAGGCGGAAUCGCUAGUAAUCGCGGAUCAGCAUGCCGCGGUGAAUACGUUCCCAGGCCUU
rnacentral:rRNA from 1 species